AUUAAUGUCAUAAACUUAAUAUUACAGCAGAUCACAAUAUAUAAAUUAAAUCCAAUAAAAAUUAUAAUCGUAAAACAAAAGAAAAGAAGUAAAACAGCCGGCGACAAGGCAUUGGGGGUCUCUCUGCAAGUCUAAACUUAGUUCACUCCCAAAUCCCAAAACCCUAGGAGAGAGAAAGAGACAGACACAUACAGAGAGAGAGAGAGACGUUGAGUUGAAAUUGAAUGAUCGAUGGCGACUUCGAAUUCACGAAAAUCAGAAACCUCCCCUUCCCCUU
rnacentral:lncRNA from 1 species